GUACUUUGGUAGCACAUAUACUAAAAUUGAAACAAUACAGAGAGCAUUAGCAUGGCACCUAUGCAAGGAUGAUGGCAAAUUUAUGCAGCAUUAUAUAUUUUU
ensembl:snRNA U6 U6 spliceosomal RNA